GAGGUUGUUGUUCAGAGGCAGAGCAUCUGCUUUGCAUGCCAGAAGUCCCAGGUUCAAUCACAGGCAUCUUCA
rnacentral:tRNA from 1 species